UUUUCUGUGGAUUACAAGCGAUGGAGUUGCGACGGAGUCGUAAAUGGAAUCGGAAGAAAUGGACACGUUUUAUUCUUCGUUUUAUUCUUCCGACUUCGAUUCUGUCGAGCUUAUCACUUCGCUUACGACUCCGAUUUCCGAUUUUCACUGGGUCGUAAGCUCUCUUACGACUUCGACUGGGACUCCGUCGCUAGUGAAAACCAGCCUUAAGUGGGGAAUUUUAGCAAUAACGACGGCGACGCUGAGGACGACGCCGAGGACGACGCCUUGUAAAAAUAAUGUUUUCUAUUUUACCUUCGAAUGUCGCAACUCUGUAGAUCUGCUCAGUGCGCCUAUCAGUCUCAAAACUUGCUCAGACUAAAUAUGCAGUGACAGAUUCAAAACGCAUAUGCAGAAGCAUAUUUCUGCUUAUUAAACCUUUUGUUUGACGACUUUCUCGUUGGCGUCGCCGUUCGGUGGUUUGCUAAAGCCCGUCAGAGUCGGAAGCAGAAGUGGAAGAGCCAACCAAUCACAAGGCCUGGAAUCGAGCAGUGUGUUUGGUUUAUUCUUCCACUUCUACUUCUGACUCCGACAGUCUAGUUUUCACUGGUUCGUAAGCGACGGAGUCAUAAGCCGAAUUGGUGUUCUGCUUCCGUCUCUGUCGUUUUGAUUUUCACUAGAUCGUAUCACUCUACGCUUCUGAUUAUGACACCGACUAGUGAAAAAAGGCCUUUAGCUUAUCACUAACCAGCAUUUUGUGCAGCGACUUGCAUAGACAAUAAAAAAUACUUUAGAGAUAUUAGGUAUAUUUGAUUAAGUAAGGUAAAACUGCCGUGGGAUUUUAAAAUUAUGGACAAUUUUGUAACAAGGACGUUAAAAAUUAUUCUAAUAUUUUUUUCUAAAUUUUGGCAGGAGUUUAAUUUUGUGGAUUAGUCUUUUGCGGGAUCUAGGUUUUGCUAUUCGGAUGGACUGACCGCUGUAAAAAAAGAUCACGUAUUCACGCGCGCGGAGAUCUUUGCUAUUUGAUGUUCGGCUAUGGUCCGUGUCAGCAGUUACGCUUUAGCGAUAAACUGUUUUCUCAGUGACUACUUCCAUCAUUUAUGAUCUAUCCAUUCAAAAUCAAAUUAAAAACUAUCUUAAUAGCUACAACCAGAUAACAUUUAAAAUCGGCAAUGCAGUUAUCAUGUCACGUCAGGAGUCACCAUCAUGGCCACGUAACAAUGAACUUUGCGCGCGCCAGACAUUCUACAGCAAGAAAAUAAGAGACGGUCAGCUAAUACCGCAAAGAUGAUUUCGAGAAUCAUUCUAAGUGUUAUGGCGAUUGUUUUUCUAAGUCUUGUUGUGACAAAUUACUCAGGUAAGUUAGCAGUAUAAUACUCGAGGGAGUUCCAUCUUGUAAACGUUCCGUGUAAUUGUUAGGUUGAUCAUUCGGCUCCCAGAUGUUGUUCUUCAACCCUGGGUGCGCCAAAUUUGUGUUUGAUUACUUUUAGCCAAUCAGAUUUUUAUAAAGGUACUAAAAUAACUCGAAACUUCAAAGCGGUGUUUUCAGUUGACGAAAAUACAGUGUAAUGAAGCUGAGAUUCUGCACUGAAAUAACUUUUAGAUGGCCAAGUGCUUGGGGCCGUGCAACGACGUGCUGCUCGAUUUGUCAAAAAACAGUUGUGAGCAAGGAAAGGGAGUAAUGACCAACCUUCUAUGAGAACUAGAAUGACCCUCUUUAGACUAGAGAUAUUCCAUAUAUGUAUAAACAGCAGACUAAUGAUAUAGAUUCCCAGAUCAGGUGUGCAUGAAUGUGCCUGCUAAAAGAACAACAAGGGCGCAAGAUAGCACCUGUGUCAUCCAGUCCAACAGUGCUAAUAGACACACAACUUACAAUUAAUUAGACUUUGCGAUAAAGAAAACUCUUGUAAGUCUGCUUCAAGAUUCCAUCUCUUUGAAUAACUGCUUGCCGAUUAUACUUAUUUUUUAAAUACAUAAACUAAGUCUAGUUACACUAUAUACACCACAGAUUUUAAUAGUUCCUACACCUGCACUACACUCGGGACGAUAUGGGAAACUAUUGUCCUGCAGUUGUUACAUAGAUAGAACGUUUCUAACCUUGCUUUGUUUGUUUUGACUGCAGGCAAUGAAAAUCAACUAACUUUUUUGAAGACACUUUCUGAAAAUGUUUUCAAAUACCCGCUACCUCAGGCUGUGAGGAGUUUGUGGGACAAUAUAAAGUUCUAUUCAAACGAGCUGAAAUGUAUAAAUCACAAAAGCGUUUAUGGAAAGAUAACCGACCUAUGCUUCUCGUCUUUCCUUCUCAUUUCACCUGCGGGAUUCGUCGUUAUUUUAACGGUAAGUCUAAUUUUAUAGCUUUCCCUCGUCGAAACAAAUUAGUCCCAAUCGCUUGUAUCUCCAUUUUGAAAGUUAGCGAACUUAAGCUGACAAAGAGGUAUUAAAGAGGCGAGGUUCUACCAUUACGACCGAAUAAACAGGUUGAAGUACAGUGGAAGCCCCGCCUUACGGCCACCUCGUUAUUGCGGCCACUUUAUUCUGUUCCGAACAAAAGCUUAGUCUGUCAUUUUCUUAUUUAACGAACCCUUUAAUACGGCCACUCCGUGAACACGGCCAAAUUUUUGUGGCCCGUUGGUGACCGGAUUAACGGGGUACCACUGUAGAUGGCAAAUUCAAAGAGUUGAACUGAACAAUAAAAAUGUUACUUCGAAAACCUCCCCAACACCCCAAGUUACUUAUACCAGCUAUCUUGCGAGUAAAUUAACCACCCUGACGAUUUUGUGAAGCUGACGAACGUUAGCCCUUUGUCAGAGCAAAGUUGGAGAUUGUGUUGAUGUGUGUUCAUAAAGUGGAGCACCGAGGUACGAUAUUGGAGGAAGCAUUGUUGGUAACAGAAAUGCGUGAAUAAAUUAGUUAAUGAAAAACGGUUAUUGACUCCAUGGGGAGCCAAGAUACCGACUUGAAAGGUAAAUUUCAGUUUUGAACUUUACGAUUUUUAGCGUUGUCUUGGUGCAGUCAAAUACCACAGGUCCAUAGACAAUAUGAGGAGAUUGAAAUGCUUGGAGACAGGUUUCGAGGCGUCUUUUUUGUUGUUUUUUAGGUCUUCGGGGAAGCGAUCUUCAGAUUUCAGAUUUCACUUAAUUCAUUCAUUCACGUAUGUUCUGUUAACAUGCUUCCUCGACAUUUAACAAUUAUUCACCGAAGUGGAGGUGAAUAGUGGUGGGUAUUUACCGAGCCGCUUCGCGGCUCGGUAAAUACCCGUCACUUUCACCGACACUGAGGUGAA